GACGAACGCUGGCGGCGUGCUUAACACAUGCAAGUCGAACGGAAAGGCCUCUUUCGGGGGGUACUCGAGUGGCGAACGGGUGAGUAACACGUGAGUAACCUGCCCUUGACUUUGGGAUAACUUCAGGAAACUGGGGCUAAUACCGGAUAGGAGCUCCUGCUGCAUGGUGGGGGUUGGAAAGUUUCGGCGGUUGGGGAUGGACUCGCGGCUUAUCAGCUUGUUGGUGGGGUAGUGGCUUACCGAGGCUUUGACGGGUAGCCGGCCUGAGAGGGUGACCGGCCACAUUGGGACUGAGAUACGGCCCAGACUCCUACGGGAGGCAGCAGUGGGGAAUAUUGCACAAUGGGUGGAAGCCUGAUGCAGCAACGCCGUGUGCGGGAUGACGGCCUUCGGGUUGUAAACCGCUUUCGCUCAUGACGAAGCUUUGUGUGACGGUAGUGGGUAAAGAAGCACCGGCUAACUACGUG
rnacentral:rRNA from 1 species